rnacentral:rRNA from 1 species
GACGAAGGAUGCAAGCGUUAUCCGGAUUCAUUGGGUUUAAAGGGUGCGUAGGCGGACCAGUAAGUCAGUGGUGAAAUCUCUUUGCUUAACAAAGAAACUGCCAUUGAUACUGCUAGUCUAGAGUAUAGAUGACGUUGGCGGAAUAUGACAUGUAGUGGUGAAAUACUUAGAUAUGUCAUAGAACACCGAUUGCGAAGGCAGCUAACGAAACUAUAACUGACGCUGAGGCACGAAAGUGCGGGGAUCAAACAGGAUAGAAACC